AGCAGCUCCUGAAAGCGGAGCGUCCACUGAGCGGCGCCGCAGCCCGCAACUUCCAUCAGCAGCCAGCCGGCGUUUCCUCCCUGCAACACGCUGCAGGCCAAUCCGCUCCCUCACUCCGUGUUGGGUUACAAUGACAAGGGCCCUGUCUGAACCACGACUUUUAGAAAGAUAAUAUAACAGGCCCACAGCUGAUCCAUUUCCCGGUACACAAUUGAGACGGAGGAGGUUAAAGCACUCUGAACGCACGGGACCAUAUUGCAGAGCUGAGAUGCGACACCUUCCAGACGGUGUUUGUGCCUGUGGCAGGGUCUUGGUCUUUUGUUCUCUCCUGCGCCCUCAUCUGCACCACAAGAUGACCUCAGACAGCGUCUCACAGCACUCCUCCAUGUUCUCCUCCAUCUGCCUCCUGUCCAUUGAUCAGCCUUCCAGGGCAUCAGUCUGUUUAACAUCUGCUACAAGUUCCAGCAGCUCAGAUGCGCAGACACUGUAAUGAAGAGCUCUUGAACUCACAGUCAGAGAAGCUGUGACAGGAGUUCAGGAGGAUGCCUCUGCUGGACAUGCAAUACACACCGAGGGACCUCCACAGUGGAUGAAAUUUAGCCCCGACCUCUGACCUUUUGGGUUCAGCGUUUGUCUCCAGUCCAAUGACCACAAACAACUCCUGGAUUGCUGUAAAUGUCAGUGCAGAGGUGUCUCCGCCCUCUCCCCUGUGAACCAUAGGGCUGCACUCAACCUGCACUAAUAGGACACUUUCAUGAGAGCUCCAUUAUCAGUUAUGCUGUAUUUCAUAACUCAUAUUUCCUCCUUAUGAUGCCUCUAUAAAUUGUCAUCAACUGUAAACGACUGUCAUCAAACAAACAGCAAUGAGGGUCUGUGUUGUAACUUUCUUUUUUUCAGCUCCCUUAAAUCUUAAAUUUGGCAGUUUAAGGCCAGUCAUAUAAUGCUAAAAUAGGAAUAUUUGAAAUGAUUGACAUCAUUAGGAAAUGUAGGAUUUUAGAUGCAAAAAAAAAAUAUUGCAUAAAGAGUGCAGGAUGGAAAAAAACCCAUUUAGCACACACAAAUCAGCUGGUAGCAUACAGUAUAUCAUAAGGCCCAGUUAUAUUGAAUUGUAAUUCAUGUUCUGAAGACACUGGUUGUAAUGCACCCAUUUUAAAGCACAUUGGUUUGCCCUUCCCCCACACAUAAAGACACACGCUCCCUUUCUCUCCUCUCCGGGCCUCCCGAGGUUGGUGUCUCUGCGUUAGGACUCUAUUGUUGCCUACUGCUGGAUAAUGCCCUUAUUAAUUGUACCUCUUUGUAAAGUGUCAGCUGUAGCCUCAGAUUGAGAUGGAUGGAUCUCUGGAGUCUGCUCUCUGGCCCUCCACAGACGCUCUAUCUCUGCAUAGCACACAGAUGCAGCAGUGAGUGCCGCCACACCAUGACUAAAAGCUGAGAUAAAACAGGUAUGUUUUGAUUAUUCCACCAAUAAAAAAGAAACCUGUUUCCAAACUGAAAAACACAUUUCUGUCAUUGCUAAGGUGAGCUAGCAUGUGAUGUGUCUUAAUUAUCUGAAUAUCUGAGCAUACACUCUAUAGCAGUGAUGAAAUAUCUUUUUUUAUUGAUUAUUUUAGUGUGUUGCCGAAAUACUGGUUAAUUAGGUGGAUUGAAGCCUCCGUGAGAUCAACAGCAUUAACAUCAAAUCCUUUCCUUCUCAUUAAAGGAAACAGAGUCAAUUUAAUUAAUGCAUAUUAAUCCCCACUGAUGCUCAUUUUAGCUUUAAAAAAGAUGGCAGUGGGAGCUUCACAUUCAUCCUUUUAAAAACAAAAUAUUGCAGGUUUGAUCACUCUCUGAAACAACAUAUAGAAUAGCAUGAUAGCAUUCGUUAUAAUCUUUAGAUCCAUUAUCUAAAUUGAAUGUAAGGGCAUUACCUGUACGCAUGAUGACCAGUUUUGGGGGGUUUAUUUAUUGAUGGUAGUUGGUUUCAGGCAAUAAUUCAAUAAUUAGUUUAAUUUUCAUGCAGUGUAAUCAUAUAAAUAAUAAAAAUUCUCAGAGAUAUUAUGGCUUACAGUUCUUGUGUCUAAAAUAAAAUUUCCAGCCUUAUGUAAUUGGGAACAUACAGUAUACUAUAUAAGUAUAGAAUGUAAUACAUUCACCUUAAUGGGAAAAAUACAAGCGUAACGUUUAAUAUAAUACACCAAUAUCAAGAUAAUGCUGCGAUAUUAAUAUUAAUUUUGUCCAUAUCACACCCCCCCAGCAACUCUUCCACUGAUAUUGACUGGCUUCAUUUCUUGUUUAAAAAGCUGUUUGAAAGCUCUCUUAACACAGCUUUAUGAAUGUCAGUGGAUGCCACUUUAACCAACCCAGUCAUGAUCAGACAGCUAACCAGGGUUGUUGAAGUUAGAAUAAUGACUUGAUCUAAGCCCCUCUGACAACGUGUUAGAGUAAGUUCCCAGAACAAACCAGCUACAGCACACUUUUC